GAAGGAAGAGAAGUUUGCAGCACAAGGGCCAGUCAUCAUUCUCAUCAUGUUAUCAAGAGCACAAACGAAACAAUCGUAGAUGAAACCUACAAGAUUAAAGGUUAAAAUGUGGGCUUCCGAUCUUGAAAGCGUCCUUUUCCAAACAACAAUUUAAGGGAGAUUUUCUAAGGUAAAAAUGGCAGGUACAAACACAGUCCAGCCUUUGCUGAAUAGAACCAAGGACGAGGAAGACACCUUUCAGCCUUGACCAGAUGGAAAACCUUUUCCACUUAGCAAGGCUGAGCAUGUUGAAAGCGGACCAGAUUAUGCAGAUUCUGGACACCACCUGCAACCUGGACCAACUUCUUAUCAUCCAGUCAUCCAGAUAAGGGAAUACAUGGACCACUCCCCCCAUCUCCAGAGGAAAAGCUACUACAACCACCAUAUGAUCUUGGUCUCAAGUAAUAAAUCCCUGAAAUCACUGACACUGAUGAUGGCAGAAUGCCUUCCGCUGAGGGAUUUCAGCUCCGGGAUUUCAGGCUCACUCUAAAUCCUUGAAACUAUGCACAGCCUCAUCCAUCUUUUCAGAAAAGAGCAACACCUCAAAGGGUAAGUCCUGCACUAGCUCUAGCACCUCUGGAGGGAGGACAGAAGAGUCCAGCCAAAACGAGCACCUCAUUGUGAUGGCAGAGGCCAUGCUGUGCUCUGCAGAAUCUGCUUCAUCAAGACAUACCACCAGAGCUGUUCUGGCAACCAUUUUGUCCUCCACUAUCAAAAUGAGGAAGUGAGGCUCCCAGAUGAAGUGAAGCAAGUCUCUAAAUUUCAAAACCGUAUCCCACAGGGUGAAACUGUA